GGAAGUAUGGCGGCUGCUCGAACGCCGCGCGGCGGAGGCCAUUAAGGCGUGGACGGCCCGGGAAGGCGGCCUAGGGACGCAAGCAGGCUCGGCCGCCUCUUUCGGCCACGGAGCCGCGCAGAUCCGGUUCCCGGUUGACCACUCUGUCGCCAUUGGGCGAGACCUACCUAGUCCUGACGACAACGGACAAAGGCCUUAAGGGGCCUGAAAGCAACCUCCAGUCCUGCAAGCUUCAUUCCUGAAUGGUAGAAAGCAGUCUUCAGCCUGAGACCCAUCCCUAGACUCUAUGGCACAAAGAGGCACUACAGAAAAUCCCAGAAUUUAUUCCGACUGAAGCAAUAUGCAACUGGCAAAACUGGCAGCUGAAAGGAUCCUGAAUCAGAAGGAUUUUAAAUGCCGUUUUGGCACAGGAUGUCAGAGCACAAGCAUGGUGAAGAGGAAUCUGUGUCAGGAAGAAGGUGGAAGAGAUACGACAUUGGUCAAACAGAGAAUUGAUAAAAUAAGAAAACAAGUUGAAAAAAUAAAACAAAACCAG
rnacentral:lncRNA from 1 species